UUAUGGCCAUAUCACGUUAAAAAAUCGGUUCUCGUACGAUGGCAGAAGUUAAGCAACGUCGGGCCUGGUUAAUAUCUAGAUGGGUGACAACUUGGGAAUAGAAGGUGCCGUAAG